rnacentral:ncRNA from 1 species
GAUAACUAGCUUGUGGUAGCCAAGCGUCCAUAGCGACGUUGCUUUUUGAUCCUUUGAUAUCGGCUCGUGCUAUCAAUGCAAUGCAGAAUUCGCAAGCGUUGGAUUGUUCACCCACUAAUAGGAAACGUGAGCUGGGUUUAGACCAUCACGAGACAGGUU